rnacentral:rRNA from 1 species
UACGGGGGGGGCAAGCGUUGUUCGGAAUUACUGGGCGUAAAGGGCGCGUAGGCGGCCUCUUAAGUCGAACGUGAAAUCCCCGGGCUCAACCCGGGAACUGCCUUUGAUACUAUCUGUCUUGAAUAUGGUGGAGGUAAGCGGAAUAUGUCAUGUAGCGGUGAAAUGCUUAGAGAUGACAUAGAACACCUAUUGCGAAGGCAGCUUACUACGCCUAUAUUGACGCUGAGGCACGAAAGCGUGGGGAUCAAACAGG